rnacentral:rRNA from 1 species
UAACACGUAUCCAACCUGCCGUCUACUCUUGGACAGCCUUCUGAAAGGAAGAUUAAUACAAGAUGGCAUCAUGAGUCCGCAUGUUCACAUGAUUAAAGGUAUUCCGGUAGACGAUGGGGAUGCGUUCCAUUAGAUAGUAGGCGGGGUAACGGCCCACCUAGUCUUCGAUGGAUAGGGGUUCUGAGAGGAAGGUCCCCCACAUUGGAACUGAGACACGGUCCAAACUCCUACGGGAGGCAGCAGUGAGGAAUAUUGGUCAAUGGGCGAGAGCCUGAACCAGCCAAGUAGCGUGAAGGAUGACUGCCCUAUGGGUUGUAAACUUCUUUUAUAAAGGAAUAAAGUCGGGUAUGGAUACCCGUUUGCAUGUACUUUAUGAAUAAGGAUCGGCUAACUCCAUGCCAGCAGCCGCGGUAAUACGGAGGAUCCGAGCGUUAUCCGCAUUUAUUGGGUUUAAAGGGAGCGUAGAUGGAUGCUUAAGUCAGUUGUGAAAGUUUGCGGCUCAACCGUAAAAUUGCAGUUGAUACUGGAUAUCUUGAGUGCAGUUGAGGCAGGCGGAAUUCGUGGUGUAGCGGUGAAAUGCUUAGAUAUCACGAAGAACUCCGAUUGCGAAGGCAGCCUGCUAAGCUGCAACUGACAUUGAGGCUCGAAAGUGUGGGUAUCAAACAGGAUUAGAUACCCUGGUAGUCCACACGGUAAACGAUGAAUACUCGCUGU